AUGUUCAGUGCCCAGUGGCAGGGGGAGCUUUUCCACUGGGAAGAAGUUGCUCCUCUCUGUCUUGGGCAUGCUGUUUCUUGUGGCUUUGCUGGAUUAUGGCCUCAGAGCCUCAGGCUGCAGGGUAUGGGUGGUUGUCCUGCCCACUUUGAGCAUGACCCGCACUUGGAGCAAGGAGGUGUUUUAUCUGUGCCCUCCGUGGUCACAGACAAGGUGCUUGGUAUUUCUACCCCUCUGGACUCCGGACCUUCCACCCUGCUAUGCUCUCCUGGUUGGCAGCAAAGGGUAGCAGCAGGAGACAGGACGUGUGCGAAUCAGGAGAAUUCACACCAGAUUUCCAGGUGA
rnacentral:lncRNA from 1 species